UUCCGGUUGAUCCUGCCGGACCUGACUGCUAUCGGAUUGGUACUAAGCCAUGCGAGUCGUUGUAGCAAUACAAGGCGGACGGCUCAGUAACACGUAGUCAACCUAACCUAUGGACGUGGAUAACCUCGGGAAACUGAGAAUAAACCGCGAUAGAUCAUUAUGCCUGGAAUGGCUUAUGGUUCAAACAAUUUAUUGCCGUAGGAUGGGACUGCGGCCUAUCAGCUUGUUGGUGAGGUAAUGGCCCACCAAGGCUAUAACAGGUACGGGCUCUGAGAGGAGAAGCCCGGAGAUGGGUACUGAGACACGGACCCAGGCCCUAUGGGGCGCAGCAGGCGAGAAACCUUAGCAAUGUGCGAAAGCACGACUAGGUUAAUCCGAGUGAUUUCUGUUGAAGAAAUCUUUUGUCAGUCGUAAAACCACAGACGAAUAAGGGGUGGGCAAGUCUGGUGUCAGCCGCCGCGGUAAUACCAGCACCUCGAGUGGUCAGGAGGUUUAUUGGGCCUAAAGCAUCCGUAGCCGGCUUUGCAAGUCUCCGGUUAAAUCCAGCUGCUCAACAGAUGGGCUGCCGGAGAUACUACAAAGCUAGGGAGCGGGAGAGGUAGACGGUAUUCGGUGGGUAGGGGUAAAAUCCACUGAUCCAUCGAGGACCACCAGUGGCGAAGGCGGUCUACCAGAACGCGUUCGACGGUGAGGGAUGAAAGCUGGGGGAGCAAACCGGAUUAGAUACCCGGGUAGUCCCAGCUGUAAACGAUGCAAACUCGGUGAUGCAUUGGCUUAUGGCCAAUGCAGUGCCGCAGGGAAGCCGUUAAGUUUGCCGCCUGGGAAGUACGGACGCAAGUCUGAAACUUAAAGGAAUUGGCGGGGGAGCACCGCAAGGGGUGAAGCCUGCGGUUCAAUUGGAGUCAACGCCGGG
rnacentral:rRNA from 1 species